UCUCACUUACAAGUGAGAAUAUGAUAACCAUAAGGUCUGACUGCCUGCAGGGCCGGGCAGAACAAAGUCAUAUUUCUCUUCUUGCAGAACGUGAAUAGGAGAAAUAUUGCUGAAUUCUUUUCCCAGCAAGGAAUAACCCUGGGAAAGGAAUGCAUUCCCAGGGGGAGGUCUCUAAAUGGCUCCUCUGGGAAUGUCUGUCUUAUGCAGUUGAAGAUAAGUGAUGAAAUAAGCCCUGGUCUCCUGCAGUGCCCUCAGGCUUGCUAGGAUUAGGAAAUUCCAGCCUGGCAAAUUCUAGUCAGACUGGUUGUCUUCUCUCGAACCCUGUUUCCUGUUAACAUGUUUAUCAAUGACAAUGCAUACCCAGCAG
rnacentral:lncRNA from 1 species